CCUACGGGAGGCAGCAGUGGGGAAUCUUAGACAAUGGGCGAAAGCCUGAUCUAGCCAUGCCGCGUGAGUGAUGAAGGUCUUAGGAUCGUAAAGCUCUUUCGCUAGGGAUGAUAAUGACAGUACCUAGUAAAGAAGCCCCGGCUAACUCCGUGCCAGCAGCCGCGGUAAUACGGAGGGGGCUAGCGUUGUUCGGAAUUACUGGGCGUAAAGCGUACGUAGGCGGAUCAGAAAGUAUGGGGUGAAAUCCCAGGGCUUAACCCUGGAACUGCCUCAUAAACUCCUGGUCUUGAGUUCGAGAGAGGUGAGUGGNAUUGCGAGUGUAGAGGUGAAAUUCGUAGAUAUUCGCAGGNACACCAGUGGCGAAGGCGGCUCACUGGCUCGAUACUGACGCUGAGGUACGAAAGUGUGGGGAGCANACAGGAUUAGAUACCCUGGUAGUCCACACCGUANACGAUGAAUGCCAGUCNUCGGACAGUAUACUGUUCGGUGACACACGCUCNNGACUCAGCGGUAC
rnacentral:rRNA from 1 species